UCCGUAGGUGAACCUGCGGAAGGAUCAUUACCUAGAGUUGUAGGCUUUGCCUACCAUCUCUUACCCAUGUCUUUUGAGUACCUUCGUUUCCUCGGCGGGUCCGCCCGCCGAUUGGACAAUUUAAACCAUUUGCAGUUGCAAUCAGCGUCUGAAAAAACUUAAUAGUUACAACUUUCAACAACGGAUCUCUUGGUUCUGGCAUCGAUGAAGAACGCAGCGAAAUGCGAUAAGUAGUGUGAAUUGCAGAAUUCAGUGAAUCAUCGAAUCUUUGAACGCACAUUGCGCCCCUUGGUAUUCCAUGGGGCAUGCCUGUUCGAGCGUCAUUUGUACCUUCAAGCUCUGCUUGGUGUUGGGUGUUUUGUCUCGCCUCCGCGUGUAGACUCGCCUCAAAAACAAUUUGGGCGCCGGCGUAUUGAUUUCGGAGCGCAGUACAUCUCGCGCUUUGCACUCAUAACGACGACGUCCAAAAGUACAUUUUUACACUCUUGACCUCGGAUCAGGUAGGAUACCGCUGAACUUAAGCAUAUCAAUAGCGGGAGGGGAAGUCGGACUGGCCAAGGGCACACAGGGGGGGGAUA
rnacentral:rRNA from 1 species